rnacentral:rRNA from 1 species
UACGUAGGGCGCUAGCGUUGUUCGGAUAUACUGGGCGUAAAGCGCACGUAGGCGGCGCCGUAAGUCAGGGGUGAAAUCCCGGAGCUCAACUCCGGAACUGCCCUUGAAACUGCAGUGCUAGAAUCUUGGAGAGGCGAGUGGAAUUCCGAGUGUAGAGGUGAAAUUCGUAGAUAUUCGGAAGAACACCAGUGGCGAAGGCGACUCGCUGGACAAGUAUUGACGCUGAGGUGCGAAAGCGUGGGGAGCAAACAGG